CUGAGAGUCCACCAUAACCAGUUCCACCACUAAACUCUCUGGAGCCAAGGGCUGCUUCUUGAGCUGCGAAAGCCGCUGCCUAAUGGAGGACAAAGAAGCACAAAGUGAUAUCGUUAUUAAUUUAGAAAAAAAAAAUGGUCAUUGGAUUCACUUGCUAUAAACUACUACAUAUAUGCCUGAUGAAGCGGAUAUCCUGUGAAACGUGUUGCAUUAUGGUAAUAAAGUUCUUUUGUACUAAGAAGAUUCCAAGCGCCUAUUUGAUCCUGCCUAUUCCUUUGGAGCUGCUCCAUCAUUUGCUGAAAUUCAGCUUCCUUCUGCUCAGCUUCUUCUAGAGUUGCCUGGUUCUGCUCUUCAUAGGCCAUGGCAACCACAGCCAGGAUCAAGUUCACCAAAUAGAAGGAGCCCAAGAAGAUCACCA